rnacentral:sRNA from 1 species
CAAUCGAUAUUCUCUAAAGCUACACAGUUAAUAUUCAAGAUGAAACUUGGCCGUUUUUUCUUUAUUUUUAUGUCUGUUAUUUUGGCACUAAGUUUUGUGCAAGCCGAGCCAAUAGCUGAACCAGAGCCUAAUCCAAAACCAACCUUUUUCUUAAUAGCUAGACUUCUCAGGAGGCUCCUUCGAACAACAACAACCACUACCACCA